rnacentral:rRNA from 1 species
GACGAACGCUGGCGGCGUGCUUAGCACAUGCAAGUCGAACGGAAAGGCCCUGCUUUUGUGGGGUGCUCGAGUGGCGAACGGGUGAGUAACACGUGAGUAACCUGCCCUUGACUUUGGGAUAACUUCAGGAAACUGGGGCUAAUACCGGAUAGGAGCUCCUGCUGCAUGGUGGGGGUUGGAAAGUUUCGGCGGUUGGGGAUGGACUCGCGGCUUAUCAGCUUGUUGGUGGGGUAGUGGCUUACCAAGGCUUUGACGGGUAGCCGGCCUGAGAGGGUGACCGGCCACAUUGGGACUGAGAUACGGUCCAGACUCCUACGGGAGGCAGCAGUGGGGAAUAUUGCACAAUGGGCGGAAGCCUGAUGCAGCAACGCCGCGUGCGGGAUGACGGCCUUCGGGUUGUAAACCGCUUUCGCCUGUGACGAAGCGUGAGUGACGGUAAUGGGUAAAGAAGCACCGGCUAACUACGUG